rnacentral:lncRNA from 1 species
GCUGCUUUUGGUAAACAGUUACACAGGAUACUUCACAAGAUACGUGAAGAGAGUCUUUGAGGUAAAAUCAAAUCCCUAUUAGGAUAAAUGAUUGAGUGUUCCUGUAAAGAAUUGUUCCCCUGGUUCAAGCAACCAGAUUUCAUUCCCAGAUGAUCAAAAAUGGACUUGAUGAAAUGGAAAAGCACUGAUAGAAACAGUUCCACUGCUCAAAAUUACUCCUGAAGGGAUGAGGACACCAGGAUAUGCCACCGGACCACUGAAGGAAUGGUGAUGGUAUGAAGAAAGUAUUUUUAAUGAGCAGAGCCAUUGUUUGCUCUGCUCUGUCCUCACCCCUCAAGAGAAUUUCCCUUAUUAUUAUGAAAACUUUUUAUCUUAAAAGAUAUUACAUGUUAAUGGAACUGUCGUUUAACAAAUGUUUUAUAAGUGUACCAAUCAAGCACAUUGUCGAAAUAAAAGAUAUGAAAUAAGUGAAAAAAAGUCUUUUUUAUACUUUAUAGUCCAAUUUAACACUGCUAUCUUUUUAAAAACUGCAGAAUAUAGCAUACACAGGGAAGUAUUUACUGUGUAAAGAAUAAUAAUAAAAUAAACUCACAUGUAACCAUCUGAUUAAGAAAGAAGACAUCUCUCCACUUUGGAAGUUCUCUACUGCCCCUUCUUCUCUACAGUAACCUUUAUCCUGACUUCUGUGACAUUCCUUCUCUUGUUCUUCUUCUUGUUGUUGUUUUUAAAAUAUAGUAUUACUACCCAGGUAAGUAUAAACCGAAUUAUUCUGCAUGUUAUCUGCUGACCUUUCAAUGCCACUUGGAAGGAGAAAUCUGUCUCCUCCAAGGUGUAAUUUGUAGAGACGUCAUCAUGUACUCCCACCUUUUUCCUAUCCAAAAGACUCAAGUUUCCCAAGACCCACAUCCCUUUCCUAAGAAGACUUCAGUGCUCUUAAUUCCAGUUUACCCUGUGAGAUUCUUAAGCUGUAGAUGAUGGAGUGCAUGUGGAUAGCUAAUAACCAGUGCAUUCUAUGGAUGCUCUGAAAAUGCCUGCCCUGAGUCUAGGCUAAUAUGUAGGAAAAGUGGGUGGACAAAUGUUGUUUAAUUUCAAAGCAUUAGACCCAUCAUUCUGUUAUCUCAAAAUAUGUCUCAAAAUCAGGCUAAUGCCCAAGUGUUAUAAUUUGGAGCUUUAUUGCUUCGACCUAACACUGUGUUUUGAAAGAUGCCCUCAGAUGGGCAUCCUCAUCUGCUUUAUCAACUGUGCAUUCUUUAUUGUAAAAGAAGGUCUUAGGCUGGUUUCUGGGAUCAUGUUUUCAAAGGGGACAUAGGUGAGGCUAUCAGUACAGAAGGGAUCAGUAAUGGGACCUCUUGAGGAUCUGCCACUUGAUGACUGAAUAGCCACGCCAGGUAGAAAAGUACUUUGAACCUAACGUGCAGGGGACCUAUUGUGCUGCAGCUUUGAAUAGUGGUGGUGUUUGAUUGUGAUACAUGCUGGCCUCCUGAGUCAGGUGGCACAAGAGCAAGUUUCCUUCCCAAGUCUCUUCUGGAGUUUUGCUUCAAAAAGAAACCUAUAAUCCAUGCAGAAGGUCAGCGACUGGAACAGUGUUAAAAGAAAACUACUGAAAGAAUUUGCCAACACCUUGGACAGACUAACCCAACAAACAUCACCUACUCUAGUAAACACACUAAAGCCUCCUGCAAAAGAAUUGUAUGAUGUUUUUAUUUGCAAGGUAUGCCUAGGAAUGUCAGAAAAGAAUUUUUCCAGCACUACACAGUCUCUUGUACUGCCCCAGAGCCUUAGCUUGAUUUAGAUUUGGAAACAAAAUAUUAUAUCCAUAUCAAGCCCCACUAGACAGAGUCCUCUGGGAUCAACAAUGUCACUGAAAUUGGAGCUUGUCUCCUAAAUUUCCUAUCUAGUCCUGCCUUAAAUCCUUCUACUAAAUUUCACUCCUACAGAUAAUGAGAGUUAGCAUACAGCACAAGCAAAAAUGGUGUGCAGAAGUCAAGGACCAUGAUUUGCAUAGGUGUGCUGAUAAAACAAUAAAUUUCUGUUUCUGUACCCCAAAAGUCUUGGUACAUUGAACAGGUAAAACCCAAAGAUUCUUGUUUAAUCCAGAAAACCCAGGACUUCUAUGGACUGGCCUUCAAUUGAGCCCUUGUACCACAGUUCCUAACCUUGACUGUGCAUUGGAAUCACCUGGGGAACUUUAAAACAUACCAAUUUUUGUGUUCCACUCUCAGAGAUUCUGAUCUAAUUGGUCUAUAAUGCAGCCCAGGUGGGUACUGAGAGGUUCAAAGACACCCCAGGUGAUCCUAAUGUACAGUCAGGAUUGGGAACUGCUGAGCUAAUCACUGCAAAAUUGACCACAUUUUAUGGUCUGAAUCAAGGACAAUAGAGGUAGAAGGUGCAGGGGUUUGUUCCCAGGCUCUGGGUUAAAUUGUGACAACCCCCUCCCCCAAAAAAGAUAUGUUUAUGUCUUACUCCUCAGAACCUGUGAAUAUGACCUUAUUUGGGAAAAAAAAAAAGAGUUUUGUAGGUGUGAUUGAAUUAUGGAUCUCAAGAUGAGAUGAUCCUAAACUUUCGCGAGGGUCCUAAAUUCAAAGACAAGUGUCCUUAAAAGUGGAAGAUAGAGGGAGAUUUGGGAUGGAGACUGAGGAGAAGGCCAUUUCAAGAGACAGAGAUUGGCAUUAAUCAGUCACAAACCAAGGGACACCUGAAACCAGCAAACGCUGGAGGAGGCAAAGAAAGGCUCUCCCUGAGAGCCUCUGGAGGGAGUGCAGCCCAUACAUAUCUUCGUUUUGGACUUGGCCUCAGAAUGGUGAGAGAAUAAAUUUAUGUUGUUUUAAGUCACUCAGUUUGAGAUAAUGUUAUGGCAGCCCUAAAAAUCUAAUACAUUGUUCAAUGGCUUUAUUCGUAUUAUCACAUUUAAUCUUCACAAAAAUCCCUAUGAGGGAGGUAUUAUUAUCCCCAUUUUAGAGAUGAGGAAGCUAAGGCUAAGAGAGAUUGAACAGCUUGUUCCAGAGGCAGAGCUAGUCGUGGUACAACUGGCUUGACCAGAGCCAUGCUGAGUGGCAUAAAACUGAGAACGUGAAGCUUCCAGAAUGUUAACUGGCCACCUUGACUUGGAUCCAAUAAGUCUAAACACAUCCUGGUUCGAGUCCCCCAUCUCAAUCUUAAGGCCAAUAUGCUUCAUCUUUAAAAUAAUUUUUAAAUGCGGUUUGUGUGAAUGGUUCUCUGUUCAUACACAUUCAAGUAUACAGUUGGAAUUAGAUACCUAGAAGAAGGAUGUUAAAAUUCAUACACUGUUGCUGUUAUGAAGAUUCCCCAAGCCUUAGGAAACUGUCACAUCUGUGCUUGUUUAGUGGUCUCUAAAAUUACUAGAUCUGGGCUUGAUGUCUCAAUUCAAGUACAAUUCAAAACUUGAAUUGUACUUCUAGCUCACCUUCUAAUAUUUGGGAUCUACCACUCGACUUUCUGUAUCUCAGCUUCCUUAUCUAUAAAAUAGCCGUGAAAACUGUCUACCUCUCAAGGUUAUGUGUGUGAAAAUGCUUCGAAAACAAUAAAGCUCUCUACAGAUGUACAUUGUGAGUGUGUCUGCCAUGGUUACUGCUGAAAGCCAUAUAGGCUCUGUGAUUUAAAAAACUAUGGACGGUGGGCCGGGCACGGUGGCUUAUGCCUGUAGUCCCAGCACUUUGGGAGGCCAAGGUGGGUGGAUCACUUGAGGGCACGAGUUCGAGAUCAGCCUGGCCAACAUGGCGAAACCCUGUCUCUACUAAAAAUACAAAAAUUAGCUGGGUGUGGUGGCAGGCACCUGUAAUCCCAGCUACUUGGGAGGCUGAGGCAGGAGAAUCGCUUGAAUCAAGGAGGCACAGGUUGCAUGAGCCAAGAUCCUGCCACUGUACUCCAGCCUGGACGACAGUGAGACUCCAUCUAAAAAAAAAAAAAAAAACAGCUAUGGAGGGUGGAGAAAUCAAAUUCUUUUUUAAAUUUAGAACUGGAUGUUAAAAUGGUAAGGAACACAUUGCAAUCUGCAGAGUCAUUAAGUUGUCAUAAGGCUUUGAUCUCUACAGAGAUUCAUGCAAUCGCCUUAAUAUGACUAACAAUACAAAUAAACUUGUUCAAAAAGGAAUGUCAUAAUUCUGGGGGUUUGUGUAAGAAAUUUAUUUUUAUUAGUUUUUUUUUCUUCCAAUACCCCUAGUCAUUGUCAUCUAGUUUGAACUUAAAGUCAACGGAUAUGUUUUAUUUCUUAAUAAAUUCAAUGGAAUGCUUUUUUCUUACAUAUAGAAAACAAUAUGGUUUCGUACACACAUGUUCAGACACACUCACAGAUUUUUUAAAUAAUGCUCAAAUUAGAGAAUAAUUAUAAUGAAGCAACAGCUUUUCUUUAAUAGCACCUACCAUAACUGUACAUUGCAACAUAGACAAUAUAUGAUUUUAUAGAAAACUAAGUAUUUAUUACAAUUUCGAGAAAAUGUUCAUAGAAUUUGGUUGACAAGAGAAGAUAACAUAAUUUUAUUACUAAAGUGGAAUUUUCUUAAUAUACUAUUGCUUUAAAUUUAAAUGGUUUUAAUUGGACACAACAUCUAAAUAGUGGAGAUCCAAUCUCCCAUUAGAAUUACAUAGUAUGCUAUUAAAUAGUGUUUAAUAGCAUCUCAUAAGGAAGGAAUGGAAAUUAGAUUUAUGAACACAUAGUAGUUCACAUUUGUUUAUGACAUUUUGAGAGCAUCUAUUUAGACUUUAAAUCAGAAAUAAUCUACCACAUUUUAACUAUUUAAAGUUUAAAAAAUAAAAAAGAACUGUUUAUUUCUGUUUCAAAUAUUUCAUUUGCAUAAAAUUCAUUUAUUUUUCAAAUAUAGCCUAUAUUAUACAACUUGAAUAAUGUUAUAAGAAAAAUAAUUUUUCUGUCAUGUGAGAACAAAUGCUAUGUGAUGCCCCAAAAUAGGAACCCUGAUCACUUUCCCAAGCAACAUAGUAUUUUCCCCCAUGCAAUCAUUUUAUUUUUGCUUGUGCAAUAUCAGACCUCAAUUCUCUCUCUAAAGUAAUCAUGCUUUGGGACAUAUUCAAAUAUUUGGUAUUCUGAAAUCCCAGGGUUACAGUAUUUUAAACCCUUAUUACAUACUGGGACUUUUUCAGAGAGCCAUCACAACAUGGUAGAAAAUAAAAAAGAACACGUUCAAAAAUAAAUACUGAUCACGGCAUUACAAAAUAAAUAUGCCCUAAUUUUUAUCUCAUGUUAGCCAAAAAAAACUAGGAAGAACAUGGUAGACAUGGAUCAGAACCAAUUCUUUUCUUAGAUAACACUGGCUUUGCUAAACAGAAAUCUCUCAGGUCCCUGAAAUGAUUUAAGUUUUAUUGUUCCCUGAUUUCUAUCCAGGGAGUUACAAAAUUACUUCUUGUUGUUUUAUGAAAUACACUGUUUGGAAAUCUGAAAAUGUGAUGCUAUUUAACAAUCAAUGUUUAAGCUAGCUGUGAAAUUGCCUGUUUGCAUUUUCAGGGUUUGGGUUUGAUGGUGGAUGAAGCAUGAGUUGUGACUUUCAGUGUGAAAUAAUUGCAUGGCCAUAUGUAAACCUCCUUCAUAUAGCACUAACAUGGGUUUAUGAAACCACAGUUUACUUAAAAUCAGAAAAAAAUCUAACUUUUAUGAGAAAAUACAUUUGCCUUUCGAUAAUACUCUCUCCCCUGCGAUGUGCAUAGGAUUAGUCCUCCAGCUUUUUUUUCUUUUAGCAGGUUUAAAAUAUCAAAGCCCUGCAGUUAUUCUGGGGAAUCACACCGUUCCCCAUGCAGGAGGCAGAGCACCGCACACCACACCUCCACCUCCUCCACAGCCCUUGCUCCUGUGGAACAUGUGUACACGUGCCCUGAAGCAUCUUUCAACAAUAGUAUCAGAUUUGCUUGUAGAUCUGAAGUAAAUGUUUUCAUAGUCUGUCACCUUGCUUUUAUUAAAGGUGUUGGGACUAAAGCAUUAACCAUGGUUGAAAAAAACUCAUAUAGCGGUCCUUAAAUGUUGAGAAUCACCAAUCUUUUUCAGCCUUUUAUUAAUUGUUUUCACAUAGGGAUAUCUACAAUUAAUCAGGAGUAAGACACCACAGAUGCUUUCAAGUACUCAGCAUUUCAGUUUUGUGCCUGUAAUGCUUAGAUUUGAGCAAGGCAGCUAGACUGGGGAUCUUUUUUAGUCAUUUUAGGAAGCACUUUGCCUUGCUUGCUGUGGGUAGAAUCAAGAGUUUUCAGGGAAUAUCAUCUGAAUGUCAAAAAUAUUCCCAGUUCAUAGCAGUCUCUGCGAUUUCACAAUCUCUUUAAAAGAUUCUAUGUCCAGAAACGAUCAGAAUAGAAACUAAUUUUAUAAAAUUUGUAUUGAAUUUCCAGGCUUUUGCAAUAGGCAGGCUUAGUCUUGCUUUAGUGCUUUACUUUAACUAAUAUUCACACAAUUGUUUUAAAAUUGCUCUGAAAUAAAAAAAUAAGAUUGAUAAAUGUACAUACAAUUUAUGCAUGUAUAGUGUGUGCAAUUUCAGAGCAAAAACUUAACUCUCUUCUUUGCACACUGCCCCUCCUUCUCCCUCACCCACCUUAUUUUUUCUUAAAGGAAACAUCUUUUUGAGACUGAACUACUUGGAAGAAUUAUAUACUUUUUACCAACACAGAUUCUGCAUCACUGAGCUAAGUGCAAAAUUUAAUUAAAUGGCAGGAGCGAUCUAGUCCCCCCUGUGAAGAGGUCCUGGUCUGCUGAUAGGUGGGUGAAACAAAACAAGUGUAUGUUGCAGGACUCUCGUGCGACGUGGCUGAAUCGUGUGUGGUCUGGGUGGACAUUUUUUGUCAUCCUGUUUGGGAACCAAUUCAAGAUCUGUUUCUGUUGGCACUUUCCGCCUGUUGUGAAUAUAUUAGUACAUCUCUCAAAGUCUCUGUAGACCUGAAAAGCUGGUAAUUUAAGCUCUGUGGCUAUGACAGACAGUUCUCUUCCAUCAGUUCAAACAUGGGUGAUGGGAUUUCUCAGAAAGGGAGAGAUGUCUCAAAAGCAGAAGAAAUAGUACUGGCCCAGGAUUAGUAGUGGGUUCUUAACUGUCUUCUUUUAGUUUUUACCACAAAUGUUCAAGAGUGCUUUAUCUCUGGUCUGGAAAAGUUAUAAGAAAACCAUGCCUUGUGCUUAUAUUCUUCAACUGAUUGAGCCACAGCCUGAAAACCGAGAUGAGAAACUCAAAGUUUUCCAUAGGCUAUAAAAUAUCAGAUCCUUGUGAAAGUCAUAUUUAUGCCUAUCCUUAUGAACUGUUUCUCGCUCUCCCCUCUGUGUUCUUUGGUAGAGCCACUGAAAGAUUUCAAUUUCUCUUAGAUUUAAUUUCCUCUCCCAUCACACUGAGCUCAUUAAUAUGUAGUUAUGUGGGAGGAUUCCUUUUUAUUAAAUAUCCACAGUAUAGCUGUUUUCCUCAGCAGUAAAGAAAAAUGAAAGAAAAACUAUACAGAUAUUCUGCUGUUUACAUAUUUCUAACACAGUUAAUAUAAAAUCAAAGUUUAUUUUAAAUGCAUUAAAGUUUCUUUUUAUAUUAUACAAUUAAAUAUUUGAUAAAUCCCAAAAUCCCAGUGUUAAGUGAAUGCCAGCUACUCCUCAGUAUGUUUUUUUUUUUUGCAGAUAAAUAAAUUUGAUGUUGACUUAUUUUGUGUACAAUGAUUUAUAAACAUAGUGACAUUACUCUGUGUUUUCAAGAGCUAACAGCAGUGAAAAGAUAUAGGUGGGCAAAUUUUGAUUCUUCCAAAAUGCCUAAGUAAAAGCACCAUAUUAAAUUCAGGUGUCAGUCCUGAUGGUUCUCUGUAUGUUCAUUUGUGUGAAAUUUUGCACUCAUUGAAGUUAACUAUCCACCUGACACUAUAAAACAGUACAACCACGAUAUAAGCCACUCACACUGACCACAUCUGCAAAUAUUUUUUUCUCUAAAUUUCAGACCCAUUAAUGAAGAUGUGAUUGUUUCUCUAUGACCUUUUAGCUUUCUCCAAAUCCUAGGAGACGUGCUGUUUCUCUUCCUUACCCUACUGAACCACACGUGUUCCCAUUCACAAUGAGCAUCUCUUAUCUCAUAGUGUUCCCACCUCACCAUUUAAGGAAAGGUUCAGGACUCCCCAAGAUUCAGGACUGAAAAUGAAGCGUAAAUCUUACGGGCUAAUAAGCACGGCAGUUACUUCAAUAAAAUGUUACUUAAAAGUCAAUAGGCUGCACAUGUUAAAGACAUUAGAGCUGUUAACAGACCAUUGUAAAGUAAGCAGAAUCUUUAAUAACCUGCAUGCAAUGUUGCACGAUUCCAUUUUCAGCUCAGGGCAGGUUUAGCUCUGGCACUGAGGCACUGGGCUCAUGGUAUGAGCCACUCUUGCAUUCUCAGAAUUAACAAUCCAACAGGACUGGAUCCAGGGCUAAAAUCUCAGGGCUCUAGGAAAGCUUAAAACUCAGAUAGUUUUGCCUUGCACCUAUCUUUAGCUUAGAGACAGUGAAACUGCUUGACGCUGUGCAUCAGACCCAACUUUCUCUGAUGCCUGAGUCUCUGAGCCUUCAGUCUGAGAAGCAAGAGACACAGAACUGUUAAUGAGAGCUGGCUGCAGUAUUCUGGAGAAACUAGACGAAACCCAAGGGGCACCUUUAAUGCAUACUUCCAGAGACUGAAUUGUAAGCUAGAGAAGGCUAAUUAUGAAAGAAGUAUAUGACCACAGCCAAAGAACAACUGGACAAAAUUAGUUCUGAAGCAUUUUAUUCUACUUUGCUCCUGAAGGAAAGCAAGAUGCUAGUUUUGUCUGAAGUUUCUUUUAUACUCCCCCAAACUGGAAUAUUUGUGUCUUAAACUACUACUUUGAAUGACACCUAAUCUCACAGACACCAAACAAACAAAAUAUAAGGGUGAAACUCAUAGAACAUUGUAUUACUUAGAGGGUGGUAAUGCCUGCUUUUCUGAUGUUUCUAGGCUCUUUUUCAUUUCAGAGUAUGUAGGCUUCUAGAUGGAAAAAAGACAAUGAAGAAAAACAAAUUUUCUUUCCAGUCCUGGCAACUUUUAUAUUUUGACAAACACACAAAGAUUUUUUUAGCCUGAAUUAUUAAAAGAAUGAAAACUGAUUAGAAAUUCUAUUCAUAAAUUUAAACUAACUAAUAACCUUUCCCUUAUGGCAAUUCAUCUUAUGUCCUGACCAUUUUCAUUCAUAGAUGGAAUUUAUAGACCUUCCCUUUAGAAUGGAAUCUCCACCUCAAAUUUGAGAAAGUCAUGUUACUAAAGAUAAUAGUAAUUUGGGAAGGGGCAAGGAGGGAUGAAUCAGAGGCUGGGUUACAACUGAAGAUUAUUAUAAAAAGAAUGUGAUAACUGUACAGAAAUUCUUACUUUUAGAAGUUCUAAUAAUCUCACCACCUAAAUGAUCUAUAUUUUUGUUUGACGUAUUCCAUUUCAGGCUUUGUCCAUAGGCAUAUGAAUUAAUUGGAACCUAAUAAACACAACACUUUGCAUAUGUGUUUUUUCACUUAACACGUUACUAAAAUUACUUUUUCAUAAUUCUCUGCAAACUUUAUUAUCACUUAGAAUAUUCCACUGAGUUGAGGCAUAUAAGAUGUAGCCAUUCUCUAAUUGUUGUACAUUUAACUUGCUUCUCAAUUAUUUUUUGAUAAUUAAUUUGAAGUACCUACUCUAAGAUCAACUUCUCAGAUGGCAAUGAUAAGAGGGUGAGAGAAAUGGAUGCAAAAGAGAAUGACACGGGAGUUGUUCCUUCAAAACCACUGAAGAGUUCUGAGAAGUGAUGUCAGGGAAGCAGAAGAUUGCUGGCCAUAAUAACUAAGAAGGAAUAUACUAAUAAAUGAUGAGGCAAUGUAGCAAAAAGGGGGCAGAGAGGAUAAAAUAUGAGGUGAUUCCCUCUGUCCCCCAAAGAUAGAACCAAAACAACAAAAAUGAGGGUAAGCAAAGAGCCGUGGCAUCCCACUUGGGAAACAGUGCCAAAUAUGGCAGUGAGAUGAGGCAUUCCCUAGAAUUUCACAGAGUGACUAAGUAUGCAAUGACUGGGAGAGGCUCCAACAAUGCAUUUAGGGAAGGAGUUGGAAGAGAGAAGGAACUGCAAAACUAGCUCUCAGUGAGCAUUUAAGUACUUAUUUAGUUGUCUAAUGCCUUUACUCUCAGUUCAUGAGUAGAACAACUAGUUAGUUCUGCUUCUAUAUCUGACACAGAGUGUGGCCAAGGACAACUUCUUUCCUUUUUAGUUUCCCCUCAACUAUCACAGGAGGGUAAUACCUUGGAGCUCUCCCCUGGUCUAUUGUGUGGGCUAAUGAGGGGUUGUAAAGCAUGAUAUAUGAGUAAUGUGUGGUGUAAAAUAUUUAACACCUCUCUUGAGAAAGAAAAUCCUAAUUGUUCACCUGAAACUGUCUCCCUCACCAAUUAAUUCCAGUUUAGGAGAUUGACACAAGGGGUUCCCCCAAAUCAAGUCCAUGCCUAUGAAGGGUUUAGACAGGUGAUAGAGUGAAAUUCCACCCCUACCCCCACACACAAAACCACAAGGCUCUUUGGAGGAAUUACUGCCUCCAACAGACCAGCCAACCUGCCCCUGUGCUUUGCAGGUAAUAUUUUCAUAAAAGGGGUUUCUUUUUUCUCAGUUUGCCUGGUAAGAACAUUUAGAAAGUAACGAGUAGCUACUGAAGCUAACCAGGGACAUUUUUCUAUCCAGGGAUUUUUCAUUAUGUUCAACAUUUGGAAAUUUCAACUAAAGAUAAUUGCAGGUAAGCGUCCACCAACCGAUGUAUUGAUUUUCCACUGUAGUUUUUAAAAUGGGUACUUGUACACAAAAGACCUCCUUCCUGUAUAUUUCAGCUCUCCAGGGUACAAUUACAUGAAAUUAUUCAGCAGCCAAGUUUGCUUUGUAUCACUUCACUGGGUAAGGACACAGAGAAAGCUGCUCCCUGUGGCACUGAAAGCUGCAAAUCUUUUUUGCCUAAAUGUUUAACAGCCACAUUCAUCAUGGUCUCAUAACAAGGCCGCCCACAGACAACAUAGUUCACUUGUUUUCGCCCUAUUGUUAAGAGUUUACCAGAAAGACCAACUCAGGUCAUAGCAUUGAUUUUAUAUUCCAACUAAUUGUACAUUGGGUUAUAAUGGUCUUGAAGGUUCAACAUUGGACUGGUGUCAUAAAAAUUGAUUUUUCAUACCAUUUGCAAAUCUUCCAGUACUAUCUAUAGUUUAGAAGUUCUUGCAUAAUAUUUACAUUUUUUGAGUAGCAAAAUCUGAAACAAACUAUAGCUAAUUUGAUAACCAUAAUAUACUUGAAAAAACACUUUUCAAUAUAUAGUGCAUUAUUUCAUUUAUUCCUUAGAGUAAUUCAUUAGAGUAGGUUUAAUGGUAAUAUAACGGAUUAGCAGAAAAUGUCUUAUUUGCUUCUGUUCUGUUUGAUAAUGUUUAACAGAGCUGGGCAAAGAAUUUAUUCCUUUAACCUUUGAACCCCUGCUUCAACAUAAAAAUAAAUAGGCUUAUUUGUAUUUUGUUUUUGUUUUCUUUUUCCAUCUAACAUUUAUUAAACUCAGUGUGCCAGGCUUGAAGCAAAGCCCUUUACAUACAUUGUCACAUUUAAGCAGGAGACAGGUAAAGAAUUUGACUGGGGUUCAUAGAAGUCCUUCAAUUAUUUUCCUCCUGAAAAGAGCAAAUAUAAACUUCUGUAUAGAUGAUACAUGAGGGUAACAAUAAAGCCCCUCUCCCACAAAGAUUUUGGCUAUAAAGAAGGGUAGGGGAGCUGCCUUCUGAAAGUGAAACUGUAAAACCAAAAAUUAAUGGAAGAGCUUAGAGAUUUUUUUCAAAGACUUUAAGCAAGAUAGAUUGUCUCCAAGACCAGAGCAAGAAUGAGACUUCAGUAUGGGGAUUUAUAUGCACUAAGGAAAAAAAACGAAGAUCCACAAAGAGAUGGGACAGCCAUGGACGCCUCAGAAGGGAUGACUUAGGUGCAUGUCCGGGCGGGAGGGGCUGCUUCUGGCUCUAGAAUGUGACUUAGUCAACCUCAAAACUAAGUUUACCUUUUAGGGGUAACCAGGGUCCCUUGGUACUAACCUCUGAGUUACAAAAUAAACUCUAUGUUAUCUGAUUCCACAGACCCCAAGACCUCUUCUAAUGAUGAUAUGACUUCCCUGCCAGAUGCUACCAGGAGAUAAUUCAUUAACAAAGCUGCUGUCAGUGCUGACAGAUCGGUGGUAAAAUAAUAAGUUAGUUACUUAUACAUCUAGUUCUAUAAGUUUUGUGAAUUUGAGUAUGCUCCUGAAAAAUAGGCCACUAGCAACAUCCGAGGGCUGCAAACUUCAGGACUACAGUCUGGACUGUGAUAAAGUCACCAGGGGAAAUACCAAAACCGUGCUCUUCCAAGGUGCCUUUUAAAAAUUAUUUAACAUUAUAAAAAGUUUUUAACCAUGAGAACAUUACUUGCUUCCAUAUGAGACUAAAGAUCAUACUAAACCAUGACAAAAUACUUAAGAUGCUUUCAGUAUCUUUUUUAAAUAAACC